rnacentral:rRNA from 1 species
AGUGAACGCUGGCGGUAGGCCUAACACAUGCAAGUCGAACGGCAGCACAGUAAGAGCUUGCUCUUACGGGUGGCGAGUGGCGGACGGGUGAGGAAUACAUAGGAAUCUACUUUUUCGUGGGGGAUAACGUAGGGAAACUUACGCUAAUACCGCAUACGACCUACGGGUGAAAGCAGGGGACCUUCGGGCCUUGCGCGAUUGAAUGAGCCGAUUUCGGAUUAGCUAGUUGGCGGGGUAAAGGCCCACCAAGGCGACGAUCCGUAGUUGGUCUGAGAGGAUGAUCAGCCACACUUGUACUGAGACACGGUCCAGACUCCUACGGGAGGCAGCAGUGGGGAAUAUUGGACAAUGGGCGCAAGCCUGAUCCAGCCAUACCGCGUUGGUGAAGAAGGCCUUCGGGUUGUAAAGCCCUUUUGUUGGGAAAGAAAUCCAGCCAGCUAAUACCUGGUUGGGAUGACGGUACCCAAAGAAUAAGCACCGGCUAACUUCGUGCCAGCCGCCGCCGUAACAC